AAGCAAGGGACCAUUAUCUGGAGCGGGUGCACGGAAAAGAAGAGACCCGCAGAGAUCAGAACAUUAAGACAGACAUAUCUCUAGGUAUUCCGGUCUCUGGAUAGCAGAAAAUAAUUAGGCGGGAAGUGGUGGAAAGUCGUAGAUUCACAGCAGGAGCCGGAGCUCACGACUCAGACGUGCAUACAGCUAGGCAGCCAGACCACGCCCCUGGAAUACCCCUUUAACUGAACUAAAAGAAAGAUCCCUGAAAAUGUUACUAGGAUUCAACAAAGCAAAUACCUAAAGAAGCAAAGAUUCUCGGUGCCCAGAUACAAAACAGGGAUCAAGGCCACCGUGGUUCAUGAAUAAAAAUGACAGGAUUGGAAGGUGGAUGGAGCAAGCUGGCAGGAAAUAACUGCUUGCUUACAAAUUCUAGACAAGAAAUAUAAUUCAAAGGUUACAUGAACAAGAAGAAGGGGAUAGAGCUACACGGAAUAAAGAAGUACACCGGCUGGAGGAUUUACAUAAAGCAGAAAACUCUGGACUGGCAAGAAAGUUCAUGUAAAAGAUGAAUCAGAAGAAGAGAUGAACCUGAGCGAUCAUGUGCCCGGCUGAGGUGCUGGACAGCUACAAUGGCAAAUUAUGUCUUCACUAUCUAUCUAUCUAUCUAUCUCCUAUCUUUCUCAUCUCUAUC